UUAGAGUUUGAUCAUGGCUCAGGACGAACGCUGGCGGCGUGCUUAACACAUGCAAGUGGUGCGACGAACCAGGGCUUGCCCUGGGGCAAAGCCGCGAACGGGUGAGUAACACGUGAGUAACCUGCCCCGAUGACCGGGACAACCCGAGGAAACUCGGGCUAAUACCGGAUGUGGCGCACAGGCAUCAGCCUGUUCGCUAAAGGAAGCUUCGGCCUCCGCAUUGGGAGGGGCUCGCGGCCCAUUAGCUUGUUGGUGGGGUAACGGCCUACCAAGGCGACGACGGGUAGCUGGUCUGAGAGGAUGGCCAGCCACAUUGGGACUGAGAGACGGCCCAGACUCCUACGGGAGGCAGCAGUGGGGAAUCUUGCGCAAUGGCCGAAAGGCUGACGCAGCGACGCCGCGUGGGGGAUGAAGCAUUUCGGUGUGUAAACCCCUGUUGCCCGGGACGAAUCCUGGUUUUCGAGCCAGUUGACGGUACCGGGUGAGGAAGCACCGGCUAACUCCGUGCCAGCAGCCGCGGUAAUCCGCC
rnacentral:rRNA from 1 species